AACGAACGCUGGCGGCAGGCUUAACACAUGCAAGUCGAGCGCCCCGCAAGGGGAGCGGCAGACGGGUGAGUAACACGUGGGAACGUACCCUUAACUACGGAAUAGCUCCGGGAAACUGGAAUUAAUACCGUAUGUGCCCUUCGGGGGAAAGAUUUAUCGGUAAAGGAUCGGCCCGCGUUGGAUUAGCUAGUUGGUGGGGUAAAGGCCUACCAAGGCGACGAUCCAUAGCUGGUCUGAGAGGAUGAUCAGCCACAUUGGGACUGAGACACGGCCCAAACUCCUACGGGAGGCAGCAGUGGGGAAUAUUGGACAAUGGGCGCAAGCCUGAUCCAGCCAUGCCGCGUGAGUGAUGAAGGCCCUAGGGUUGUAAAGCUCUUUCACCGGUGAAGAUAAUGACGGUAACCGGAGAAGAAGCCCCGGCUAACUUCGUGCCAGCCGCCGCGGUAACAC
rnacentral:rRNA from 1 species